GUUGUAUGCGUCCAUAACUAAAACCAUUUAGUUUUUCCUAGUGAAUUCUUUGGUAUUCAAUUGGACAAAAUUAAAACCCAUGAUUGACUAUUCCUCUUAAGGAUAUCGGUUCAAAGAUAUAAACCUUAAUAAAGUGAAAAUCAACAAAGUGAACAA
rnacentral:snoRNA from 1 species